UGAGUUGAACAUAUGGAAAGUGUUGAUCGUGGUGUGUACACAGCAGAGUAUAAAAACGCGACUCCGACUCCAUCAGACACUGUCUGAGUACAUCAGAGUUUCCUCUCCCAGGUCGACGGACGUGGAUCGUCAUCAUGUUUAUGUGGAAGGUGAUUGUGAGUGUUCUCGCUCUUCUGAUCUGCUCUGUCAGAGCUCAUGAUGAGCUGGGUAAGUCAUUCUCUCUCAGUGCUGAUGUACAGUAGCUACUGGUUUAUUCCUUUAAUUCUGAGAUCCAUGACUUUAAUAUUACAUUAGAAAUUGUAAAUAUUGGCAAACUGAUGGUAUAUGAGGCAUAUUUCAGUA